rnacentral:rRNA from 1 species
CAGCAGCCGCGGUAAUACGAAGGGGGCUAGCGUUGUUCGGAAUCACUGGGCGUAAAGCGCACGUAGGCGGAUACUUAAGUCAGGGGUGAAAUCCCGGGGCUCAACCUCGGAACUGCCUUUGAUACUGGCGAUCUUGAGUCCGGGAGAGGUGAGUGGAACUGCGAGUGUAGAGGUGAAAUUCGUAGAUAUUCGCAGGAACACCGGUGGCGAAGGCGGCUCACUGGCCCGGAACUGACGCUGAGGCACGAAAGCGUGGGGAGCAAACAGGAUUAGAUACCCCUGUAGUCCCUGUCUCUUAUAC